GAGCAAGGGCGUCUAGUUUAAAUGACGUGAAUUGCCUUGAAGGUUGGCGAUAACAAUUCUUGCGAUUCUCCGUGCCUAUCAAAUUUUUGCCUUUUUUUUGUAUUGAUAAUGGCCUCGAACAAGUCGCUAUAUU
rnacentral:snoRNA from 1 species